rnacentral:tRNA from 1 species
AGGUAUUUAGUGUUAAUAAAAACAUUUGAUUUCGGCUCAAAAAACUAUGGUUCAAGCCCAUAACUACCUA